UUAGGAGACUUGCAGGAAUUCACUGGCAUUAUGCCCUUGAUGGGUGCAGUUGAAAGCUCUUUGGUUACUGAACGGAUCCCUGGAGAUUGUGGAAGUGGGUCCAGCGCUGCGGGUGAGGCUGGCAGAGAGCGGGGCUCCUCCUGGGGCGGCGCGGGGAGCUGUGCCGCCCUGGAGGGCUUGAAGCCCCAGCCCUAAGUGCUGCCUUGGCUCUUUCUGAUGGGGCGCCAGCCUGGGUGCGUUUCACACUGCCUCUCACAAGGCAUUUUUGUUUGAUUUGGUUGACAUCAAAGUUGGCUUAAGGGGCUGGGAAACCUCUUAACAGAGGGAUUUUGUUAGCCAUUGCUGAGCUAAAGGAGGCCUGACUGAUAAACCUGUAAACAGCCCUUGGGUGACACACUGAUGCAAUUUUGUAUAGCCCUAGGUUUUGAAAAAUACUUUGUGGAGAGCCCAAAUGAAGAAAAGUUGCUGAUAGUUCUUGGUUUAUAAAGCAUUUUCAUGUAAGUUACCCCAUCAAAGGUGGAUAGGGUAGGAAACAGUGAAGAAAGCAGGCUCUUAGGAGAGAAUGGAAUUUGCCCCAAAUUACAAAGCAAAUGACAGAACUGCAACACAAACCAGAAUUUUUGGUGAAUAUUACUUAUUAGGAAUACUUAUUAGGAACCUCCUACGGUUGCAUUAUGUGCCCUUCGCUAACACAACAAUCCCCAAGUGGGUAUCAAUUUUCCCUCCUUUUUGGAUGAAGGAAUGGGCUCAGAGGCAACUGCCUGGAGAGACAUGGAGCCUGAACUGGAUUCGGGGUCCGCAGAGCUUGGCCUUUCUGCUGCACCAGGCUGCCUCCCAGCAUCUUCCAGCUUCUCCAAGACUUACUCUCCGGUUUGCAUUGCCUCAAAACAGCAAGCUUGUCAUUAGAAGCAUGGAGCAAUGAUAGAAUUAGUUUAUUGAGAAGAAAGCUGGUGUUUGCUUCCUGUGGUGCCUUAACUGGCGAGUGGUCAGGCCGUGGUGAGGCUUCCCUUGUGUGACAGCCUCUCUGCCUCCUCCUACUGGUCGUGUGGUGAAAGGCAGGCCACUGCGGCCUUUCUGUGCACUCAACUCCAGUUUGAAGGACUCUUCUUCCCACUGUGGGGCUGCAUGGGGAACACCGGUCCAGGGCCUGGGACCUGUGGGGGGCCAAGUCACCAGGACACUCGGGUUCUUGUCCUGGUUCUGUCACUGCCUCAGAAGCACCCUGGCCACACACCUCCUUUGAGGCUUCAUUUUCAUCACCUAUAAAAUGGCAAAGUGAACUCAGUGAUCUCUCAAGCUAUCUUCAGGCUUGAACCUUGAACCUCUGUGCAUGUGUUGGAAGAUCUAAAACAGCUUAGGUAGAUGGAGAAAACAACCCUUUUUGAGAGCUGUUAGACCCAGGGUGAUGUGCUGAGCUCUCAUCAUACAGUAUUCCAGUUAAGCGCCAUAACCCAAGGUGCAGUAGUAUUCCCCACUCUCUGAACCACUCCAGAAGAGAAAACUGAAGGCUGCAGAGCUUAAAACACUUGCUUAAGGACUCAGCUGGGAAGUGGCAGCCUUAAGCCAAAGUCCCCUCACAACCACAUGCCAUGUCCUGAGCCCCUCUGGCAGCACAGAGAUGAACCUCAUCCCGUCUGGGGCAGGCUGAUGCAGAGGGAGCAAGAUGAGAUUCUGAGCUGAGUUCAGAGAGAGCCGUCCAAAUAGCCAAGGGAGACGUGUAUCCAAGGCAGAAGGCCCAGCCUGGACAAGACACAGAAGCACCAAGAACAUGACCAGCUCUGGUCCGCGGCCCCCCUCCUGCCUGACAUUCCUUCAUUCAGAACCACUCUUGAGUUUGGGGAAGCAGGCUGCUUUGUACUAGAAUCCGGAUCUGGUCUGUACACUGGCUGUCUUCUGUGGCAUUUAGCAAACCUGGGUCCCAGAAUCUCCUGCUGUUUCUUUAUGCAGCUGAGGUGGAGGUGAACCUGGCUCGUUAUGAGACCUAAUUGAUGUUGGGGAGGUUCCUAGAGCGCUUGGUGAAAGGUGCCCUGUAAAUCUGAGACACAGAAGACUUGUGCCACAUUCAUCAUAGUGUUUAAUGUCCUGAUUGAUCUCCAGGGUAAUCAAUUUCAUUUUUGCUUGUUUCAGGAUGAAUAAGCAGGCUGCUCCCCUGUGCUGUAGGCUAGGGCCCUGCAUGAAAUUAUGCCAGUGCUGCGCCUCUGGCAGCUUGCUAGAUGAGGAGCCGGCACCCGAGAGGAGCACGGGGGGCAGAACGGAAGCCUCGAUCAGCAGCUCUCUUGAAGCAAGACAGGAGCUCCUGAGCUGAGGGUCAUGGGUGGAAUGGACACGUCACCCUGAAGAGCAUUCCAGGCCACCUGCCUCUGAUCGUGCAGGGUCUGCAAAAAGCCCCCCAGUCUGUGUGACUUGAUCUGAAAAGCCAAGGUCUGGGGAACAGCGGCUGUUACCCAGACCACAGUGAGCUCUCUCAAAGGGUGGGCGAGCAAGGGGAAGCCCUUUCCCAGAGCUGCAGACCUCCCAGGGAGCGCGCGGGCUCCAUCUCCGCAGAUCCGCAGCUGCCCACCAGCCGUGACUCUGGGCUAUGGCACCCGGGGGAGCCGUGAAAACCAAAGCUUUUACACUCCACCUCCUGCACUCCAGACCUGGAGGCCCCACCCCACGCCCAUCCCCAGGCAGCAUUUCUGACACUGGUGGCCUGUUGAUGCACGAAGGCCGCAAGGAUCGCUCAGGCAGACUCUGACCUCACAGUGUUUUUGUAAAUACCCUGCGAUGACCAGUCUUAAAAGUGGUGUUCUUCUGUGGUCUUUCUGGAUGGGAAAACCGAGGAAGCGAACAGCAGUGACUUGCCUGGCAGCUUAUCCCAUCACGCUCCCGUCUGCCCUGUGCUUUGCUCUGGGUAGAAGUCCACAGCAGAGGCCUCAGGUUCUUCAUCUGUGAAAUGGGGCUACGAUACCCACCUCACAGGGUCGUCUAAAGAUACAAGGAGCCCAAGUGUAUGGAAGCCUUUGCAGAGCACCUGACAGAAAACAAAACAGUGGUCACAAACACAAACUCUCUUGGAGGCUUUUCAGCAAGGGAGACGCUAAUCAGACAGGCUCAGCAGCCCGGAAGGACCCCCCGAGAA